CCUACGGGGCGCAGCAGUCGAGAAUCAUUCACAAUGGGGGAAACCCUGAUGGUGCGACGCCGCGUGGGGGAAUGAAGUUCUUCGGAUGUUAAAUCCCUUUCAUGUGGGAGCAAAUUAAAAAGAUAGUACCACAAGAGGAAGCUACGGCUAAGUCGGUACCAGCAGCCGCGGGAAUACAGAGGGCUCAAGCGUUGUUCGGAAUCACUGGGCGUAAAGCGGGCGUAGGCUGUUUAGUAAGUCGUGUGUGAAAGGCGAGGGCUGAAACCGAGAACGGCACAUGAUACUGCGAGACUAGAGUAAUGGAGGGGGAACCGGAAGUCUGGGUGUAGGAGUAAAAGGCGUAGAGAUCGAGAGGAACACUCAUGGCGAAGGCGAGUUCCUAGACAUUAACUGACGCUGAGGCACGAAGGCCAGGGGAGCGAAAGGGAUUAGAUACCCCAGUAGUC
rnacentral:rRNA from 1 species